AGUGAACGCUGGCGGUAGGCCUAACACAUGCAAGUCGAACGGCAGCACAGGAGAGCUUGCUCUCUGGGUGGCGAGUGGCGGACGGGUGAGGAAUACAUCGGAAUCUACUCUGUCGUGGGGGAUAACGUAGGGAAACUUACGCUAAUACCGCAUACGACCUACGGGUGAAAGCAGGGGACCUUCGGGCCUUGCGCGAUUGAAUGAGCCGAUGUCGGAUUAGCUAGUUGGCGGGGUAAAGGCCCACCAAGGCGACGAUCCGUAGCUGGUCUGAGGAGAUGAUCAGCCACACUGGAACGGAGACACGGUCCAGACUCCUACGGGAGGCAGCAGUGGGGAAUAUUGGACAAUGGGCGCAAGCCUGAUCCAGCCAUACCGCGUGGGUGAAGAAGGCCUUCGGGUUGUAAAGCCCUUUUGUUGGGAAAGAAAUCCAGCUGGCUAAUACCCGGUUGGGAUGACGGUACCCAAAGAAUAAGCACCGGCUAACUUCGUGCCAGCAGCCGCCAUAA
rnacentral:rRNA from 1 species